GAGCCUCUUUGUGUGCCAUCCCACCCCCUGAGGUCUGCAGGGAUGGGGCUUUUGGAGCCUGGAUUUUGCAGGAGCAGGAGGGGUACAGUCCAUGUCUUUGCUUCUGGCCCCUGAACUGCGGACCGCUUUUCUUUUUGACCUGACGAGGACAACUGGAACUAGACCUUUUAAAAACAGGAUUUCUUUGGAAAUUGGAUCUUCUCAUAUCCUACACAUGCUGUGCUUGGGAGGGAAGGGUUAUCCAGAUGCUGUCUCCAAUGGGAGCAGAGAUUACAGACCAGACUUGUGCCUCCAGUUCUACUGAAGGUGGCCCUGAGAGCCAGGACAGACAACCCCCAGUCCAAGGCAGACUUCUGUCCCUAGGUGAUUGAAGUCAAAGGCACCCUUCAGAUGGACACACAAAGGUGAGGCCACACCUCCAGUACUUCGACCGGUUCCAGGCUCCCCCCUUCAAGAAAGGACUGAGGUGCUGGAGCAAGUCCAGAGGAGGGCAACAGAGUAAUGCCACAGUGUGCCGGCCACUGUACAGAUGGGCAUAGGCAAAGAGAUUCCUCUGGACCAGAUAGCAUCACUUCUUAUUGAAAACUACCAGCUGAAUGAAUUUUCUCACAUCAGAGUGAGAUGGGCUUCAUCCAGUUUCAGAUUGCCCUCUUAUGAACCCAACAGUCUGACAAUGGGAUGUGCCACCAACAGCAAGCAGAUGGAAAAGCAUCUUUCCUCCUGUUGUGUGCCAAGGGAACACUAAGAACAACAGCAGCUUUACAUUUUUACGGUGCCUUUCAUCAAGAAGGAUUCAAAAGCGCUUUACAAGCCUCGGACAAAAUUCUUCUUUGAUCAACACUGAAAAUCUCUUAAUCCAUGGUGCAAAUCUCUGUUGCACUUUCUGUGCCUUUUCUGCACAUAGGACUUCUAUUGAUUUCUACAGGAAUUGUGCGUCUAUGAAACAAGUGCAGAAUGUGUAAUGGAAACCUGCACUGCAGAUAAAAAGGAGGUAAAAAAAUGCACAUGUAUGGAUCCAUUGCCCAUGGCAGAAAUGCUUCACUGUUGGAGUGGACCCCAGUCACAAUCUGUAUGCAUUAAAAAAAAAGAUACAGUCUCAGCUCCCCAGCUGGAUCCCUCUCCAUGAUGUUGCAGAAGAGGGUCUUCCUUUAAGCAGGAAAAAAACAAAUAUUGGCUCCUGUGCACAAAUUUCCUUCUUUGUCUCAGGGAGACUUCCCAGUCAGGCCUUUUGAAUUUCCUCCUAAAAGCAGAAGAUCAGGUCUUACUAUCAAUUGCCAGUGAGUAGCUGCUUCCAGGUGAGUGCUGUGGGUGCAAACAGCUUUUACACUAAAAAGCACCUUUCAUGGUGAACAUGGUGCAGAGGGGAUGCAGCAAAGAGUGUUUCCUGAACUAAUUCCAAGUUCAGUUUGGGCAAACCCCUGAGUUCUCUAUGAGUUCUCUGAUGAGGUUUAUUCAUCCUUAGAGUUAAUGUUGUGUUUGUGAUUAGAGUUUACAAGUGAUGAGGAACACUUUCCUAUUUAAUAAUCAGAAAAUGAUGAGCAGCAUCCUACUGAUAUAUCCUACUUAAUUCUGUAGAUACUUCUAUUCAGUAAUCAAGAUUUCAAUCGUGGUGUUGAACCUAUAAAUCUCUGGCCCUGACAUGCCCUAUUUUACUAGGACAUUCUGUUUCUCAUGAGUAGAACCAUAUUUUUAAUGAAAAAAUCAUUCAGAAUUAACUGUCCCCUGGGGAUGCUAUUUGAAGAAGAAAAAUGCCUCACUUGCCAAGACAGGUAUAGUAAUGUGAUGAGGAAUCUUUUAACUACUUCAUCUGGAACAGAAAAGAGAGAAUAUUACCUAUAUGAGUGUGAGCAAUAAUGGUCCAUUUCAAAAUGAAGUUUGCAGUCUAAGGCAUCAUGUUCAUUUAUCUCACCUGAUGAAUUAUCCAAAGACUUUAUUCCUGUCUGUUUAAAGCCUUUCUUUUCCAAAGAGUGGAAUAUGCUGUUUAAGUGAUUAUUUUCCUUGUGUUUCCUCCAGCUGAUACAUCCACAUCUGUGUUUGUAUUCAAGUAUUUAGUAUCUGUUACCUAACAGGACUGCCAACUAGCAGGCACACUAUUAUCAAGAGUUCAUGUUCUAUCACUGGUGCUAAUCACAUGUAUUAAAAACUUGAUUGUGCAGUAUAAAUGUGAUUCUAUCCAAAAUUGGUUUCCUUCUAAUUGCCAGCCUUAAAAACCCCUGAUUAUUAAUUUAAAGGCAGCUGAAAUUCAUUACGAUCUCAACAGGAACCCUUCUUUAACUGUCUCUGAGAACUCAGGUCCAGUGAAGUCAAAGUUGAGAUAUAUAUAUGGAGCCCACCCUCCAUUCACAAGAGCCAUCAUCACAAGGUACUGCUGUGGCUUUGACUUCUGAAACUCUGCCUUGGGCUUGCUCAUGAUUUAGAGAGAAGAGUUCAGUGGUGUUUGAAGGUAGCUAGUGAAAGUCUAAAGUAACUUGAUCCAAAUAAUUAAACUUAGCGAUAAAUUGGUGCUUUUCAUCUUCAAAAUGCUUUACAAACAUUAAUUAGUUGAGCUCAGCAAAGCCUCAUAGACGGGAAGCCACUCAAUCCCUCAAUCCUGUGAAGUGACUUCCUUGAAUGUGUCCCCCCCAUAUGCUAUUUUUAGUACAUGCAAGGGCCUGCCUCACAUUUCCUUACUUUCUCUUCACAUGGCACAAACCUUUUCUGUGUUGAAAAUCACACUGGCUUAGUAAUGGGUAUGGGGGAGGUUGUAAAAUUAAAUUGUUUUUUAAAACAGCAAUUGGCUUGGGUUUUCCUGGAAGAACUGAGGCAUAUGAAGAUCAGAGGCAGGCAUCUUCAUACCCUGUACCAGCUUCCAAACCUUUAAACUUUCUGUCCCCUUUGAACAUGAAAAGCUCUAUUUCAGGCACACCAAGAGGUAGACCCAUCGGCUGCUGGUCAGCAGGAAUGUGCCCCACUGUGAACAAAGCUAAGGCGAAUUUCAGUGCCUGCCUGGCUGCCAGGUUUCCAUGCCCAGUAACGCAUCUAAAAAAAUGCCCGUAAGGAAAGAGGAUACUCUCUUCAGGGCUCUGCAUCACUUUGUCACAGGGCUCUGCUUCUUCCUCAGGCUCAGAAACAUCUCCUUCUGUUGGAGUCUGGUGACAGUGAGGAGACAGGCAUGCUUUUUGCAAAUUUGCCUAUUUUGUGACACAAAUUAACAAUUUUAUCAUUGCUGUUCUCCUUGCAUGGGUGGUUGCUUAGCUCUGGAUUGGCUCAUCCCUUACUGCAGGAGAGCUGCUGGAAUCUUCCCUACAGAAGCAGCCCCAUUCUCCCAUUGAUUCCCUCUUCUUAGCUGCUGUUUCAGACAUUUCCAGCUUAAUUGGUGCAGUACACCAAGUCCAGUUGUGGAUUUUUCUACAUGGCUGAGCUCCUGAUGACCGUCUUCAAAGGUUACUCUAUUGCAGACAUGAUGCAUUAAUGUUAUCAAACAACUGUUCAGGCACUAACCCUUCAAUUUACUUGCCUGUCUGUCUGCCUUUCCUCAACUUGACUUCUACUUUACAAAAAUAGUAGGGCAGCCUACUUAAUACAAGUAGGAAUAUGUAAGUGAAGACCUGGUGGCUCUUAUUGCACUAAGCACCUCUGAAAAGUAAAAGGCAAACUGCCAUUGUUUUUUUGGAUUUUUUUUUUCCUCCCUACUGGUUUGUAAAAAGACAAACAAGCAGACAGUCCAAAAUAAUCUUAUUUAUUCAGUGUGAUAGACCCAAAAUCUUGCUGAAAAGAACAGGUCUUCUGGUUGCAUGCCAGCCUACAACAAGAAAGCCCAGGGGAGAGCUGUGUUCCUGGUUUUCAGCAUGACUUUCACAAAGUUGUUUUCCUUCUCAGUGUCUCAGGUCCACACAUGAGAAGGUGUCGUGGGAAUAAAUAGGGGAGGGUGGAAGCAGAGGGGAGGUGAGCAGUCGAGUUCAUCCAGAAGGCACUGGGAGGAUUGUACAAACCCUUUACAGACUUCCCUCUGUUGCAGUCCCCAUUGGGUUUCACCACUUCCCGUUCACAAUAGCUGAACAUCACUUCCUGGAACAAAAUGAAUGUAUUACACUGUUUCCUCUAUAACUUGUAGCUACUCAGCUGCUUAUUUUUGUCUGGCAAUGUUAACUGGAGCGCUAGGUUUGACUCUGUUUCCUGACCAACCCCAAUGCAUUGUCUGUCUUCUAGCAUAAUCUUAAAAUAGUCUGUCCUGGUCUCUGUGAAAGCAGGUGUGGAUCAAUUUAUACCCCUGUCUCAAAAAUGUUUAGCUCUUUGGAAUUUUUGCAGAAAAUAUCUGUGAUGGCAGUUGUGCAGUACUUUUAAUCUCAAAAAUGCAAAAUAUUCAUCAAAAGGAAAUUUGGGUGGUUUUGGUCCUUCGGGCAUUAGUUUUAUCUCUACAGUUUUACCCCAAAACCCCAAAAGAAAGAGCCAUACCCCUCCAAAAUUUUCCAUAUUAAAAUUCUUUGCUGUAUGUGUAUGUCAGUCUCAUGUGUAUCACUCUGAGUUUUCUACAGGAGCAUGAAGUGCCUGGAAUAAACAGCUACAGCAUUAACACUGGGAAUGCAAGUACUGAGUAGCAAAUCCCUUCAUAGCAAUAACCUUUCCUCAGAGAAAACAAGUGAUUUGCUGAAAAUAAAAUUACUUGAAAAUUUCAGGGGAUUUGUGCUGCUGCAAAACAAAAUUCAAUAAAAACAAUCUAAAGCUUUCAUUCUGAUAUUGACAAAAAAUUAGUGCCACUUCUAUUCCACUAACUUCUGCCACUUCUGAUACUUCUUUCAAUUUAUUUUGUAAUUAAAAAUCUUGUAGAUGCUUAAGUCAGAGAAAAAAAAUUAAUCUGAGGCUGAAGAAAACGCUACAGUUAACUUAAAUUGAUUGCCAAAAAAUGUUGUAAAGAUUUCAUUGCAGGACAGCUGCAAAUGAAUUUCUCUCAUGAUUUCUCAGCAUAGCCAGGAAAAAUAAAAAUCUCAGUUAUUCACACAGCUCUGUUAUUUAUUGUCAUCAUCAUUUUUUAUCUGGUGGCUUCAUAUAGCAAAGUAAAGCAAGUGGGAGAAAACAACGGGGAUGUAAGGCCAUUGUGACUCCAGCAGGAUUGUAUGGCUUUAUUAAAUAUUUGUUUCCCUUAUUGGACCUUCACUUACAGCUAAGGGGCAGUUAUUUCUUAAUAAAUCAAUUGCUUGUGA